rnacentral:rRNA from 1 species
GAUGAACGCUGGCGGCGUGCCUAAUACGUGCAAGUCGAGCGAACAGACGAGGAGCUUGCUCCUCGGACGUUAGCGGCGGACGGGUGAGUAACACGUGGAUAACCUACCUAUAAGACUGGGAUAACUUCGGGAAACCGGAGCUAAUACCGGAUAAUAUAUUGAACCGCAUGGUUCAAUAGUGAAAGACGGUUUUGCUGUCACUUAUAGAUGGAUCCGCGCCGCAUUAGCUAGUUGGUAAGGUAACGGCUUACCAAGGCAACGAUGCGUAGCCGACCUGAGAGGGGGAUGGCCCACACAGGAAGUGAGACACGGCCCAGACUCCUACGGGAGGCAGCAGUAGGGACGCUUCGGCAAUGUGCGAAAGCCUGCCGGAGCAACGGCGCGUGAGUGAAGAAGGGCUUCGGAUCGUAAAACGCUGUUAGUAGGGAAGAACAAAUGUGUAAGUAACGAUGCACGUCUUGACGGAACCUAAGCAGAAAGCCACGGCAAACUCCGG